UACGUAGGGGUCGAGCGUUGUCCGGAUUUAUUGGGCGUAAAGAGCUCGUAGGCGGUUCGAUAAGUCGGACGUGAAAUCUCCACGCUCAACGUGGAGGGGCCGUUCGAUACUGUCGUGACUCGAGUCCGGUAGGGGAGUGUGGAAUUCCCGGUGUAGCGGUGAAAUGCGCAGAUAUCAGGAAGAACACCAAUGGCGAAGGCAGCUCUCUGGGACGGUACUGACGCUGAGACGCGAAAGCGUGGGGAGCGAACAGG
rnacentral:rRNA from 1 species